rnacentral:rRNA from 1 species
GAUGAACGCUGGCGGCGUGCCUAAUACAUGCAAGUCGAGCGAAUGGACGAGAAGCUUGCUUCUCUGAUGUUAGCGGCGGACGGGUGAGUAACACGUGGAUAACCUACCUAUAAGACUGGGAUAACUUCGGGAAACCGGAGCUAAUACCGGAUAAUAUUUUGAACCGCAUGGUUCAAAAGUGAAAGACGGUCUUGCUGUCACUUAUAGAUGGAUCCGCGCUGCAUUAGCUAGUUGGUAAGGUAACGGCUUACCAAGGCAACGAUGCAUAGCCGACCUGAGAGGGUGAUCGGCCACACUGGAACUGAGACACGGUCCAGACUCCUACGGGAGGCAGCAGUAGGGAAUCUUCCGCAAUGGGCGAAAGCCUGACGGAGCAACGCCGCGUGAGUGAUGAAGGUCUACGGAUCGUAAAACUCUGUUAUUAGGGAAGAACAUAUGUGUAAGUAACUGUGCACAUCUUGACGGUACCUAAUCAGAAAGCCACGGCUAACUACGUG